rnacentral:antisense_RNA from 1 species
CUUCAACGAGCCCAGCCAGAGCGGGCUGCCGCCCUCCCGCUCCUGCCCGUAGGUGGCCAGCAGCGCCUCCGCCUC